rnacentral:lncRNA from 1 species
UUUAAAUAAAUGGUUCAGUUAGAUAAUCCUCUGAUUGCUUGAAUGUUGUGAACUGGUUUUAGUUGUGGAUGUUUUCAUUAUUUAUACAUUUGAACAGAGGUUUGUGGAUCUGGAUGUUGGUUUUAUGAAUAUCGGAUUUUCGUGUAUUUACAUAUCGUGGUUUUCUACCCCUCGAGGUAGUCAGUUUUCAAUAGAGUUUCCGAGUGGGAAACAGUUUUAAAAAGUUUUUUCGACUGUUUUAUGACUGAUCGGAUUAGAGUUUAAAAACAAAGCUUCCGAGUGGGGAGCACUUUUAAAAUAGGAUGAUUGUUGUAUUGUGCAUUGCAUCAUCCAGCGCUUAAGGAGUGCUUAGAGGCAUUCAUCAUCUAAGGAUCGAUAGUUGUAUAGAAUUGCAUAUCAUGAAUUGGUUGAUGAUUGGUAAGUGUAGAUUGUAGUUGAGAUCCUGAUGUAGCUGUUGGUACGUCGUGCAAAUACAAAGGAGACUCUAUCCGAGUGAACAGAGGAACUUUGUAUUUGUGGCGGGUCUGUACGUC